rnacentral:misc_RNA from 1 species
CUACCACUCAAGUUUAUCUUGGUUUUGGGCUUCAUUAUUACUUUUUAGUGAUAAUGUGCUUUAAAUAUAGUCGGCAACAAGCAUUAGUUCUAAGCGUAGCAGUAAAACAUUUCGCUAUAAGACUUAAAGUAUUGUUUACCGCAAGCAAAUCAAA